CGAAGAUUGAUUAGGUUUACUCUCUCGUAGCAUUUAAAUAUGUCCACGCAUUGCUAAAGCAAAAAAUAAAAAGGAAUAACAUAUUCAAAAUCUCGAACCUAAUAAAAAAGACGGAUCUGAUCGGAUCUUUAGCGGACCUGAGUACUUUAUCAAAAAGAAACAAGAAAAAAAAAGACGAAUAAAUGAGACUCGAUUAAAAACGAUACGAAUAAUCGAAAUUCGAUGUGAAUAAAUCGAUAUUUUUGACGCCUUCGCAAAUGUGUCACAGUUGGAAUAGAAAGAAGAAAAUGAAGAAAAAACAAUAAAAAAUGAAAAAGAAUAAAAACUAUGUCUCGUGACUUUAGGGAGACCGCCGGCAUCAAGGCCCCCAUUUAUGAAAGCAACACUGGAAUCUAGUGGGCAGCGAUUAUUUUGAAAGCAGGCAAUGACAUUGAGCCGUCGCCUCAAUGAUGUCAGACGUACGGAAGUGACAUCAUUUUGCUCCUUAUCACAAGCUCCGCCUGAAUCGUACGCAGAUUACUCAAGGUUUUUAGAGUAUUCAGAAAGGGGAAAAAAGAAAAAGAUACCCUACAACAACAACAACCCUUCUGUCACGCAAGAAAUCCGAAGGGAAAUCCACGAACGGCUUACUGUCACGCGAUACCAAAACGAAACUGACCAUACUGCUGACUUCCGUUAUGCCAAUAUCACAUCUCAAAGUGAAUCUACUUAGGGUUGAUGGAAUGAGGGAGUGCCACUAUAAUUUCACGUGAAAACCUGUUACGAAAGAAAAUCAAGAAACCUAUGGGAAGAAGCUUUACGACAGUCGUUAACAUUGUCCUUGCUAAGAAAUAAGUUUAAAGUUCAAAGAAAUAACGAUGUAGAUGUGAUAGUUUUCCUAUCGUUAGAAUAAUUACUUCGAUUGAUCUUAGAAUCGAUGUUAAUUGAAAUUCUUGCAAUGUCAAACACGUAGAAUUACAUGAUAAAAUUUAUUAACUCUAA
rnacentral:lncRNA from 1 species